GGUGGGUGCACACACAGGUAACCAGUGUGGAGCCCCUCCGGGGUACCCUGCUCCUGCUGCCCCCUCCCGUGGCGCGAAUUCUCCGCCUGCUGCCUUCUCCGCGGCCGCUUUUAGGACAGAGCCGCUCCGAAUAGCCUUCCAAACUGAUGCCCCGGCCUCAUUGUCUUGUUCCGUGAGAAAAACAUGGAAAUUGGGGACAGUGACGUCUACACAGAAGCGCUUAUAUCCAUUCAUUCAACAUUCAUUGAAUGUCGACUGUGCGCCACACAUGGAGGGAGCCGCUUGCAGAGGGUAAAGUCCAAGUCCUUACAAACGUGGCACAGACAUGGCCGUCCACAACCCCGCCGAGCUGCAUUUGCUGCUGCUCCUCGCCUCCCCGGUAAUGCUCCAGCAACGCACCUCUGUGGUUUCUGCCCUCUUAGGCUUUGCUCAUUCUGCUUCCCUCACGUCACCACCUGCCUUGAGUAUCUUUCCCUGAGUCUUAGCCGGGCCAACCGGUACCCAUCCCUUAACACUGGGCUGAAGGGUCACCUCCCCUAAAAGCCUUACUUGAUCUACACCCCCUUUAUAUAUGCCUAUUUCGCUUACUACACUGAAUUGCAAUUAUAUUUAUGUGUCUGUGCAAAUAGAAUAUCCUUGAGGACAACGACUGUCUGCUUCCACAUCGAUGCUGAGCACUACCUGGCACAUAAAUUACAACUAAUACAUGAUAUAUGAGUGAAUGAAUGUGGAAAUAAAUGAAGACCACCCAAAUGAGAACCAAAAGAGGCUGUUUAUUCUAUGCCUGCUAUAGCAAGGCAGUCAGCCACUAUCACUUCCAUCUGGCAGACUCAAGGGUUGUCAAGGGAGUGGGAACGCUUAAAGUGAAAAAAAGGGGUUGGGGGAACGUUUCAAAUAUGCUCUGAUUUGAGAGUAUUAGCAUGGGGAAGCUGGAAGCAGACUAACUAGAAGCAGGGCAUCUUAGUAAUUGUGUUGGGGAAGCGUAUUUGGCUUUCUCUACUUGGUCCUGAGUUGGAAAGAGGCAAAAAAUAGGGAAGCAGUCAUUGAUGAGUCAAGAGUUCUGGCCUGAUUGCUGCAGAGGUUGUGAGUCGGAGUUCUAAUUGUCAUAUAUGGUCUGGCCAUUGUCCAGUUUGUAUAUUCACUGUCACGUGACUACAGUUGACCCUUGAACACCACAAAUUUGAACUGCACUGGUCCACUGAUGUGUGGAUUUUUCCCAAUAAAUAUGUAUA